rnacentral:lncRNA from 1 species
CAACGACAAAAAGUCAGUACAAACAAUGAGGAUCAGAGAGGUGAAGUUGCCCAAGGACCCACCCCUUGUCAUUGGCCACACUGGGAUCUGAACCUUGGUCUGUGGGACUACAGAGCAUCACUCUGGAACUUUAGAACUAGAUAAACAUUGGGUUCGAUUCUUUAUCCUGGGGGACUUUGCGCUGAGGGGGUGUGGGACCUGGAGCUGUCAGGGCUGAGUGUCUGGGUUUAAGGUGCUUUACAUUGAACACUGCAUUUCCAUCCCUUCUUGACCUCCCCUUCGUAAUCCUUCCCACCACAGCAGCCAGCUAGAGGAGGGACUCAACAGCAUCCUGGCAGCUUGUGGCCUUUUUCUUUACAGCAUUUAGACUAGUGGGACC